CGCACCUUGCGCUCCUUGGUAUUCCGAGGAGCAUGCCUGUUUGAGUGUCGUGAAAUUCUCAACCUUUCAAGCUUUUUUUUAAAGCUCUGUCGGGCUUGGAUUUUUGGGAGUGUGCUGGUUCUAGACAGUCAGCUCUCCUUAAAUGCAUUAGCAAGAUUAAUCGCUGAAUCACCUUUGAUAUGAUAAUUAUCUAUAUCAUUGAUGAACCGGUGUUUUCCUCCAGGGAAAGAUCUGGCUUCUAACUAUCUUUCGAGACAUUUGUUUCCAUCAUUUGACCUCAAAUCAGGUAGGACUACCCGCUGAACUUAA
rnacentral:misc_RNA from 1 species